UACGUAGGGGGCAAGCGUUGUCCGGAAUCAUUGGGCGUAAAGCGCGUGUAGGCGGCUCAGUAAGUCCGCUCUGAAAGCCCGGGGGCUCAACCCCGGGAGGCGGGUGGAUACUGCUGAGCUUGAGUCCGGAAGAGGCGAGUGGAAUUCCCGGUGUAGCGGUGAAAUGCGCAGAUAUCGGGAGGAACACCAAUGGCGAAGGCAGCUCGCUGGGACGUGACUGACGCUGAGAGACGAAAGCUAGGGGAGCGAAUGGG
rnacentral:rRNA from 1 species